AUUAGGUUUGAAGCAAAGGCAGUUGUUCUAUCUUGUUUAAAAGAAGAUGGAUGGUUAUUUUGGCCGACUUGUGUUCAUGCAAUGAAAGCUGCCUAUAAUUGAUGAUUUCUGCAACAAGCUCAGACUUAAAAGAGUUAAAGUAACUGAUUGUCAUAAAAUUUUACAAUGCUCAUUGCUAAUUUAGUUGUUUUAUAUGAAUAAAAAAACUAUUAUAGUUUUAUAUUAACGGUGAAGUAUUAUAUCAAAUAAACUAUUUUAUUUUUAUUUCAUAAUAAGUAAUAUUUUGAAUCUGUUCAUGGUAUUAUUACUGCCUAGAUAUAUAUUGUAAUCUGUUUACACUUAUUCUACAUUUUUGUUUUUGCAUAAUUUUGUUUAUAUUUAUUUUACUAAAUAAUUAGGAUUUAAUUUAACGACUGCAGAGGACUCGAAAGAAGAAUUAAAGUUCUGGUGGAUCAAAGAUCGAGGAAUGAUUUGCUUUUAACUGGUUUGCAUCUUAUGAACGAAGUACAUUAUAUGAUUUGAAUUGAUGAUUUAUAGUUACACUUAUUGAAGUUCUGUAUCUUAAUGACUCAAUGAUAUCCUGGCUUAUUGAUAUGAUAUCCUGUAAAUCCACUCACACACAUAAAUUUUACUCACACACGUAAAUCCUGUAAAUUCACUCACUCACAUAAAUCUUAAAAAAGAUGUUUACAUUUUUUAUCUAUAAAUUGUAAGUUUUAUAUAAAUAAAUUGUAUUUUUUUAAUGUUUUAUAUUGUAUAUUACUAUUUGCAUUCAAAAUCGACUUUCGAAAUAUUGCAAGUGCAGAGUUAAACAUACAAUUUUGUUUUAUUUGCAAAUUAAAUAUACAUUAUAGCCAAAUUUAAUCACGUUUAAUAAUAUUUUGCGAUAUUUUCUCCAGCGCAUUUGAGCGUUGAUUUAACGUUAUAUUUUAAUCUUUACUCGACGUUUUUGAGUCACGUUA